AUGUCACAGCACAAGCUGUGUGGGUCUCCGUGUCACCGUCAGGGUCCCUGUGGAAGCCUUCCAGCUUGGCGUGAAGGGUGUUCAACAGCUCAGGCACCUUCUCUAAAACUUCGCAUCUUCAGUCUUAGGCAUCUGCGCCUGCGGUCAGGCGGCGGCUCUGAUGACCGCUCAGUGACACCGUGGGUCCCGGCGCUGCUGGAGAACCUCAGUCCUCUCCGCGCCAUUCGCUCGGCCACUGGGGGGACAACUGCCUUCAUCUCCCCUUUGUGUUUUCCUCUCUGCUUCCCUUCUCCUGCUGUUUCCUCCAUUCCUCCUCUUGCUUCUGGGCUGAAGAGGCAUCCAGACAGCUCAGGUUAACUGCUUGAGAGCUGGUUCCUUCAAAAAUGCAUCCGACUCAGAAAUCUCGGGGACAUCGCUCCCACACAGGUUCUGCCUUUGUUCUGGUCUUCAUGAAACACAUCUGCCUGGGCUUGGACCCUGAGCACAGCUGCGGCUGGGGGCC
rnacentral:lncRNA from 1 species